CCUUAAUCCUAGCUGUGAUAUAAUUCUACGUGCUCGAUCAACUAGUAAUCCUGACACCUUCAUCACCCCUGUCAACACCUCAUUAUCACUUGUAACCGCAGUGUUCUAAAUGAUCGGCUCAGUGGUUGCCGUACGCAUGCACUAACACGUGGUGGCGGCCAUCUUGAGCCACGAACGCAAGCAGUGCUGUUUGGUCAUCGAGUGCAUGGAUUUCAAAUCAGACACUCGACCUCCCAAACACAGUUAAACUUCCUUUCCCACCUGAGUUUGUUUCUAUUAUCCGAAAGACACACUGUUCAGUGGGAGCAGACUCCGAG